rnacentral:rRNA from 1 species
GACGAACGCUGGCGGGAGGCUUAACACAUGCAAGUCGAGGGGUAGGGAAGCAAUUCCUGAGACCGGCGGACGGGUGCGUAACGCGUAUGCAACCUGCCUUAUACAGGGGGAUAGCCCAUGGAAACGUGGAUUAACACCCCAUAGGAUUACGGGAUCGCAUGAUUUUGUGAUUAAAACUGAGGUGGUAUAAGAUGGGCAUACGUCUGAUUAGGUAGUUGGUAGGGUAAUGGCCUACCAAGCCGACGAUCAGUAGGGGUUCUGAGAGGAUUACCCCCCACACUGGUACUGAGACACGGACCAGACUCCUACGGGAGGCAGCAGUGAGGAAUAUUGGUCAAUGGCCGGAAGGCUGAACCAGCCAUCCCGCGUGCAGGAUGACGGCCCUAUGGGUUGUAAACUGCUUUUGUACCUGAAGAAUAGGCCCAACGAGUUGGGAUUCGCCGGUAAGGUAUGAAUAAGCAUCGGCUAACUCCGUGCCAGCCGCCGCAGUAA